rnacentral:rRNA from 1 species
UACAGAGGGGGCAAGCGUUAUUCGGAAUUACUGGGCGUAAAGCGCGUGUAGGCGGCUCGGAAAGUCGGAUGUGAAAGCCCAGGGCUCAACCCUGGAAGUGCACUCGAAACUCCCGAGCUGGAGUCCCGGAGAGGAAGGCGGAAUUCUCGGUGUAGAGGUGAAAUUCGUAGAUAUCGAGAGGAACACCUGUGGCGAAGGCGGCCUUCUGGACGGUGACUGACGCUGAGACGCGAAAGCGUGGGGAGCAAACAGG